AUGCGCAACGUCGACCAGCGAGCCCACUCUUCCCCCGAUUGAGUCUGCCACAAAUGCCAGACACUCCCAUUGUUCAACAGAGGGAUCGUCGGGGCAAUGAUUGUUCAUUGCCCAACAGCACCCUGGGUGCAGCUUUGCCUAUUUGGACUACUUGCCGAGCCGAGACAAUAGACGAUACAUCAACAAACGUGCAAGUGGAUCGAAUUGGGUGCCCAAAUUGAAUAUCGUUCCUAUUUUGUUUCUUUCUUUUUAUUAUAUUUGUUGAACUACUAUUAUUCGCUUAUCCUAACGAAAUCGAUGAUUGAAAUUGGAGCCUAAAGGAAGAGUGCAUAGUUGUGUGAAUUAAAACUAUUGCAACAAGGUAUCCACGUCAGGAGUAAAAAGCAUUACCGCUUAAAUCUAGUGCACCAAUUGUUGUGCGAUAGUGAGGAAAAACUAAAGUAGGUAUUAUUAUUUACAUGGCAUAACCUCCUACUAAAUCUUCUUUAUGUGCUAUCGCAGGAAUUUUGUAAUACGCAGAAUAAAGUAUUAACAAAAUUGGGAACCCUCGCUU